rnacentral:rRNA from 1 species
AGAGUUUGAUCAUGGCUCAGAGCGAACGCUGGCGGCAUUGCUUAACACAUGCAAGUCGCACGCCCUGCAAGGGGAGUGGCGGACGGGUGAGUAUCGCGUAGGAAUGUAUCCUGAGGUGGGGGACAACCCUGGGAAACUGGGGCUAAUACCGCAUAUGGACUGAGGUCCAAAGCCGUGAGGCGCCUUGGGAGCAGCCUGCGUCCGAUUAGGUAGUUGGUGGGGUAAAGGCCUACCAAGCCUGCGAUCGGUAGCUGGUCUGAGAGGACGAUCAGCCACACUGGGACUGAGACACGGCCCAGACUCCUACGGGAGGCAGCAGUGGGGAAUAUUGGACAAUGGGCGCAAGCCUGAUCCAGCAAUGCCGCGUGGGUGAAGAAGGUCUUCGGAUUGUAAAGCCCUUUCGACGGGGACGAUGAUGACGGUACCCGUAGAAGAAGCCCCGGCUAACUUCGUGCCAGCAGCCGCGGUAAUACGAAGGGGGCUAGCGUUGCUCGGAAUUACUGGGCGUAAAGGGCGCGUAGGCGGCUUGCUUAGUCAGGCGUGAAAUUCCUGGGCUCAACCUGGGGACUGCGCUUGAGACGGGUGGGCUAGAGGACGGAAGAGGCUCGCGGAAUUCCCAGUGUAGAGGUGAAAUUCGUAGAUAUUGGGAAGAACACCGGUGGCGAAGGCGGCGAGCUGGUCCGUUACUGACGCUGAGGCGCGACAGCGUGGGGAGCAAACAGGAUUAGAUACCCNNGUAGUCC